rnacentral:rRNA from 1 species
CUGCCAUAUACAGGGGGAUAAUACUUAGAAAUAGGUGCUAAUACCGCAUAAGCGCACAGGGGCGCAUGCCCCGGUGUGAAAAACUCCGGUGGUAUAUGAUGGACCCGCGUCUGAUUAGCCAGUUGGCAGGGUAACGGCCUACCAAAGCGACGAUCAGUAGCCGGCCUGAGAGGGCGGACGGCCACAUUGGGCCUGAGACACGGCCCAAACUCCUACGGGAGGCAGCAGUGGGGGAUAUUGCACAAUGGGGGAAACCCUGAUGCAGCGACGCCGCGUGAGUGAAGAAGUAUUUCGGUAUGUAAAGCUCUAUCAGCAGGGAAGAAAAUGACAGUACCUGACCAAGAAGCCCCGGCUAACUACGUGCCAGCAGCCGCGGUAAUACGUAGGGGGCAAGCGUUAUCCGGAUUUACUGGGUGUAAAGGGAGCGUAGACGGUUAUGUAAGUCUGGAGUGAAAGCCCGGGGCCCAACCCCGGGACUGCUUUGGAAACUGUGUAACUGGAGUACAGGAGGGGCAGGCGGAAUUCCUGGUGUAGCGGUGAAAUGCGUAGAUAUCAGGAGGAACACCGGCGGCGAAGGCGGCCUGCUGGACUGAAACUGACGUUGAGGCUCGAAAGCGUGGGGAGCAAACAGGAUUAGAUACCCUGGUAGUCCACGCCGUAAACGAUC